rfam:Drosophila ficusphila unplaced genomic scaffold scf7180000453811, whole genome shotgun sequence
AUCAUAGUGAUGAUAAAAUCAAACUGAGCGCCGUUAUCGAUCUAUUUUUGAUUGGUUCUGGCCUGUUAAAGGGAUGUCGCAAUGCGAGGCAUUUGUCUGAUUGAAGC